UACGUAGGGUGCGAGCGUUAAUCGGAAUUACUGGGCGUAAAGCGUGCGCAGGCGGUUUUUGUAAGCCAGAUGUGAAAUCCCCGGGCUUAACCUGGGAAUGGCAUUUGGGACUGCAAGGCUGGAGUUUGGCAGAGGAGACUGGAAUUCCUGGUGUAGCAGUGAAAUGCGUAGAUAUCAGGAGGAAUACCGAUGCGAAGGCAGGUCUCUGGGCUA
rnacentral:rRNA from 1 species